AUACAGAGGGUGCGAGCGUUAAUCGGAAUUACUGGGCGUAAAGCGCGCGUAGGCGGCUUAUUAAGUCAGAUGUGAAAUCCCCGGGCUCAACCUGGGAACUGCAUCUGAUACUGGUAAGCUAGAGUUUUGGAGAGGGAAGUAGAAUUUCAGGUGUAGCGGCGAAAUGCAUAGAGAUCUGAAGGAAUACCAGUGGCGAAGGCGACUUCCUGGCCAAAAACUGACGCUGAGGUGCGAAAGCGUGGGUAGCAAACAGGAUUAGAUACCCUUGUAGUCC
rnacentral:rRNA from 1 species